rnacentral:rRNA from 1 species
AAUCAACGCUGGCGGCGUGCCUAACACAUGCAAGUCGAACGCGAAAGUCCCGCAAGGGAUAAGUAGAGUGGCAAACGGGUGAGUAACACGUGGGUGACCUGCCUUCGAGUGGGGGAUAACGUCCCGAAAGGGACGCUAAUACCGCAUGACAUCCUGCCUUUGAACAGGCGGAGAUCAAAGCUGGGGAUCGCAAGACCUAGCGCUUAAAGGAGGGGCCCGCGUCUGAUUAGCAGUUGGUGAGGUGACGGCUCACCAAGGCGACGAUCAGUAUCCGGCCUGAGGAGGGCGGACGGACACACUGGGACUGAGACACGGCCCAGACUCCUACGGGGAGGCAGCAGUGGGGAAUUGUUCGCAAUGGGCGCAAGCCUGACGACGCAACGCCGCGUGGAGGAUGAAGAUCUUCGGGUUGUAAACCUCUGUCACCGGGGAAGAAACGCUGCUAUUUUUAAUAGAAUGCAGCCUGAC